AUCCUAACUCGGAGCUCUUAUUGGAUAUCUGAGGAAGAUAAGUGCUUUCAGUUAGGGUGA
rnacentral:pre_miRNA from 1 species